AGUGAACGCUGGCGGUAGGCCUAACACAUGCAAGUCGAACGGCAGCACAGUAAGAGCUUGCUCUUACGGGUGGCGAGUGGCGGACGGGUGAGGAAUACAUCGGAAUCUACUUUUUCGUGGGGGAUAACGUAGGGAAACUUACGCUAAUACCGCAUACGACCUACGGGUGAAAGCAGGGGAUCUUCGGACCUUUCGCGAUUGAAUGAGCCGAUGUCGGAUUAGCUAGUUGGCGGGGUAAAGGCCCACCAAGGCGACGAUCCGUAGCUGGUCUGAGAGGAUGAUCAGCCACACUGGAACUGAGACACGGUCCAGACUCCUACGGGAGGCAGCAGUGGGGAAUAUUGCACAAUGGGCGCAAGCCUGAUCCAGCCAUACCGCGUGGGUGAAGAAGGCCUUCGGGUUGUAAAGCCCUUUUGUUGGGAAAGAAAAGCAGCAGGUUAAUACCCCGCUGUUCUGACGGUACCCAAAGAAUAAGCACCGGCUAACUUCGUG
rnacentral:rRNA from 1 species